rnacentral:rRNA from 1 species
UAAUACGGGGGGGGCAAGCGUUGUUCGGAAUUACUGGGCGUAAAGGGCGCGUAGGCGGCUUCGGAAGUCAUGGGUGAAAGCCCCCGGCUCAACCGGGGAAGGGCCUGUGAAACCACGGGGCUGGAGUGCUGGAGAGGGGAGCGGAAUUCCCAGUGUAGCGGUGAAAUGCGUAGAUAUUGGGAGGAACAUCGGUGGCGAAGGCGGCUUCCUGGACAGACACUGACGCUGAGGCGCGAAAGCCGGGGGAGCGAACGGG